UUACCUCUCCUUGGGGAGAGGUCGAAAUUGCGCAGCGAUCUCGGGUGAGGGG
rnacentral:sRNA from 1 species